rnacentral:rRNA from 1 species
AUGAACCCAGCAGAGAUCUUGAAUGUCAGAUUCCACUUUGGGGGGCAAUUCAUUAGGAUUGGUCCAAGUCUUAAUUAUGUUGGAGGAGAUUCUGGAAUGUCAGAGAUUGAGCGCGACAAGCUCUCUUUACAGGAGGUGAAAGGAUUUGUAGGAGAUUAUAUGGCAGUGAAGGAGAGCAUGAAGUAUUAUUUCUUGUUGCCUGGCAGAGAUUUGUCAAAUGGAUUACUCUUUUUACAUGAUGACGCUGGCUGCAUGAAGAUGUCUGACUAUAUUACAGAUGGAGGAGUUGCUGACAUAUAUGUGGAGUAUAAUGGUGAACAAGAUUAAAAGGAAGAAAUAGAUAGUGGGUCAGAUUUUGAAGAUGAGCUUGAUGAACUG